rnacentral:lncRNA from 1 species
CUUUUUCACCCAACAAAACCCUGUCUUACUCAUUCAAAUUCAAAUUGUCUGUGAGCAUGAAUUUUCGUGGCCAUGGGACAAAAAACCCUGUCUUCAGCCGAACUAAGGAAAAGUCCCGCAGCAGUUCCUCCUUAGGGACUCUUCGAACGCACUGUCUUAGCCCAGGCUGCCUUAACAAAAUACCAUGGACAAGGUGGCUUGAAAAACACACAUGUAUUUUCCCACAGUUCUGGAGGCUGGAAGUUGGAGAUCAGGGUGUCAGCAUAUUCGAGUUCUGUGGAGGGAGAGAUCGCUUCCUGGCUUGUAGACAGUCACCUUCUCAAAAUGUCCUCACAGGGCCCUUCCUCUGUGUGCAUGCGGAGAGAUCGCUGGUCUUUCUCUUCUUAUAAAGACAAUGGGCCUACUGGGUUAAGGCCCCACCAUUAUGAUCUCACUUCACGUUUAUUACCUCCAUACAGGCCCCAUCUCCAAAUACGGUCACGCUGGGAUUUGCCCAACAUAAUGAAUUGGAGGGGAGCGGUGGGGCACGAUUCAGUCCACUGCACACCGUUCUCCUCUCCAGACCUCUCACUGGCAAGUCCUUUCAUCUCAAUUUCAGUUCUGUGAGGCCGUCCUACUAUUGUCUAUCACCCUGUUUGAUUUUUUUGUAGCCUCAUCAUUUAUUCAUUACAGUUUCUUAAGUUCUUUUUUUUAGGGAGCUUGUCAUUGCCUAGAAGAGUGCUGGGCACACAAUAGUGAUACUGAAUAUACAACUAAAAUCAUGUAAUAUAGCACAUGAGAUUCUUAAUGCUAAAAUUAAGACUUUUUAACAUGAAAAAUGCUCUUAAGGGCAGAAAUGAAGCAAAUUUCAGGCAAGAUGGCAGACAAGACUGAAACGGAUUCAUCCAUCAACUGCUACAGACUUAAAAAACAAAAUAUGCCCAAUGCAAAGCUGAGCUCAGGAAAUCCUCAGAUGCUAGAGAUAAAGACAAAAUCCAGUUGCAGAAGUGAGUUCCAGGUGAUGCCAGGAGACCCCAGGAAGUAUCAGAUUAGGUCACAAAACUAGGAAUAAGGUUUUAAUGUCUUCAGAAAAACAGAGCAUUUGGUGAGAGAAGGGAACUAAUCCGAGACUCCCGCAUACAACCAGGACACUUGAAGGGCUGCCUCACCUGUGAAAAAGAAACUGGAAAAAUCUCUUCAAAUCUGUCUGUGGAAACAGAAAGACAGCCUGGUGUUUGACAAAGCUCUCGGUGGGACAAACCUCCUCUGAGAAAUGGAAACCUAGGAAAUCAAAAGCCCAGAAAUUAAGGGAAAGCAUUAGUCUCAGAUAAUGAAAAGGAAACCCUUGGGGCCCGGGCCAAAGCAAAUGUAAAAACAUGAACACUUGCAUAAUCUCGUACAUGGGACUCACAGAAAAUGCAACCCCUAAUAUAGAUGAGCUCGCAAUGAAAAAUUAUCCACCACUGUGGCAAUGCAGUCACCAAAAGGAAGACUCAACAGACCAAUGAGCAUAGACACGAGCUGUGGAGGUAACAACUGGAAACAGAAGAAUAAAAUCUCAAGAUAAAUAAUUUAAAAAUACUUAACAUGGAAAAAUAUUUCACUUAAAAAAUAUAACUUUUAGAAAAAAUAUAGUAUCAUUAACUUAAAAAUUCAGUAGCUAGGUUGAACAAUAAAUUCACCACAAAUGAAAAGAGAAUUAGAGAUCUGGAUCACGGAGCUGGAAGAUGAAUGCAGAGGCAGCACAGGGAGGUAAAGCAAUGGAAAAGAUCGCAGGGAGUCCCAAGACCCGGGAUGCUCCCUCGAGUCACUCACAGGAGCUCCAGAGGAAAGGACAGAUCAUGGGGAAAGGCAAUAUUUGAAGCAACAAUGACUGGGAAUUUUUCAUAAUUAAGAAAGAUGUAAAUAUUCAGAGGGAAAAUGCAGAUCUAGACACUUUUCAGAAACACUAUGAAACUCCAAAGUCAAGGAAAAGAUUAAAAGCAACUAGAAACAAAAGACAGUUUACAAUAAAAGAUCCAAAUUAGAUGGAAAUUACAUGUCUCAUUAAUAAAAUAGAGGUCAGAGAAAAGGGUAAAAAAUGUUCAACAUGCUCAAAGAACAAAAGUUAUUCAUCUACAAUACAACUUAGUAAAAUUAUCAUUCAAAAAUAAAGACAAAUCAAAUGUAUUUGACUAAGACUGAAGGGUAUUUUUUUAACCCCUGGAUCAUCAACUUUACCAAAGGAUAAAAUUUAUUAAAAAUAUGAUCAGCUUGUCGAAAGAAUGAAUCAAUGACACUCUGUCUUCGUGGAGAGCAGCCUGGGUGUGGAAUCAGGCACCCCCGGGUUCAAAGCCAUCACUGUGAUUGAAGAACAGAAGUCAUUCGUGAAGGACACAGCACACACAGCCCAGAGAGCUCGCAGGUUAAAACUGCACAUGGAGCAAUGUCUGCCAGCCAUUCAGGGUACUUCAAAAUAGUUGGAGUAGGGAAGCCAGAGGGAGUGCCUCCCAGACAGGAAGGGGCAGCAGAGGCAGGAGAGACAGGGUGAGUGGAGAGCAAGCGGCCAGCAGUACAGUCCCAGACCCUCCCCUCCAGGGUGGAAACUGUGUGUGUGUGUGCAUGCAUGUGCACAUGCGUCUGUGCUGUAGGUAACCGGAGACGACUGAGGGAAAUCCUGGGGUGCCCGAGUAUGUUGCGAGAGGAUAGUUGUUCCCUGCUGUACUUUGUUUCUCAGGGCAUGGGCCGAAGAAGUUUCAGGUCACAGCAGAGCCUGACAGUGACCAGCUCAAAGCCAGGGAAAGGAUGGCAGAUGCAGCUCAGGAGCACUGGUGUGAGCUGAGCUUUGGGAGUCAGCCAGCACCCACAAACCUGCAACAGUCAGCAGGUGCUAUGAAUGCUAAGAGAACAGACCAAAGACAGGUUCUAACCAUGGCAACCUCAAGAAGGUAUACAAUGAGGAGGCCCACAGCCAAGGGCCAGGUGAAGAGGACCUUGGAGCUCAGCCGAACAUUUGUAGGAGUGAGAAGAGAGGACAACGUGAGGCAGAUUGCAGACACUCUGCUCUGCAUCAGAAGCCAACUAAGCGUCUGCUGACACCCAGGUGAUGUCAACUGGGGAGAGAAGGGAGUAAGGGAAGUGAAGCCCUGAGACCCUCGGACGGGCUUCAGAUGCCUCCUUCUCUUCUGCCACUCCCAGAUUUCAUGAGUGGAGAUGCAAUCUCCAAAGCAAGAAGAGAACAGUUACGGAUGACAAAGAGGGUUACAGUGUUUUGCACAUUGAGGCAUUUGUUCCCAACACCACAUAUAGGCACAUGUACACACAUGCAUGCACACACACACUUGUUUACAAUUCGCCUCUCUCGUUAGGUCUAUCUUUCUUUAUUUCUGCUUUAUAUCUGGCCCAGAACUUAGCAUGGCUCAGGGUCUGUCACAGAGACCUGGGUGAAUGGAUGGAUGGAUGGAUGGAUGGAUGGAUGGAUGGAUGGAUGGAUGGAUGGAUGGAUAGCUGGAUGGAUAGGUGGAUGGAUGGAUGGAUGGAUAAAUAAAAGAGUAAAUAAAUUGCUCUUUAGUUAAUUCACUCCACCCUCUCUGGAUCAAGUGUCCUCUACUUUAGUGUGUGGAAAUUUCUGCAAAACACAUCAAGCAAGUGUUGGUUUCAGACCUCCUGGC